rnacentral:rRNA from 1 species
UUCAUUGGGCGUAAAGGGUGCGUAGGCGGUUGUGUAAGUCAGAGGUGAAAUUCCGGGGCUCAACCUNGGAACUGCCUUUGAUACUGCUCAACUCGAGUACUGGAGAGGAGACUGGAAUUCACGGUGUAGCAGUGAAAUGCGUAGAUAUCGUGAGGAAGACCAGUGGCGAAGGCGAGUCUCUGGACAGUUACUGACGCUGAGGCACGAAGGCUAGGGGAGCAAACGGGAUUAGAUACCCCGGUAGUCCUAGCAGUAAACGGUGCACGUUUGGUAUGGGAGGAAUCGACCCCUUCCGUGCCGUAGCUAACGCGUUAAACGUGCCGCCUGGGGAGUACGGUCGCAAGAUUAAAACUCAAAGAAAUUGACGGGGGCCCGCACAAGCGGUGGAGUAUGUGGCUUAAUUCGAUGCAACGCGAAGAACCUUACCUAGGCUUGACAUGCAUCUCUAAGUUGGUGAAAGCCAGCGAGUGGUAGCAAUACCACAAUUUGCACAGGUGCUGCAUGGCUGUCGUCAGCUCGUGUCGUGAGAUGUUGGGUUAAGUCCCGCAACGAGCGCAACCCCUGUGAUUAGUUACCAUCCGGUCGAAAGGCCGAGGGACUCUAGUCAGACUGCCCUGUGAAACGGGGAGGAAGGUGGGGAUGACGUCAAGUCAGCAUGGCCCUUACGCCUAGGGCUGCACACGUACUACAAUGCCCAGUACAGAAUGAACCGAUACCGCAAGGUGGAGGAAAUCCCUAAAACUGGGCCCAAUUCGGAUCGCAGGCUGCAACUCGCCUGCGUGAAGCCGGAAUCGCUAGUAAUGGCGUAUCAGCUACGACGCCGUGAAUACGUUCCCGGGCCUUGUACACACCGCCCGUCACAUCAUGGGAGUCGCUUGUACCCGAAGUGCAUGAGCUAACCGCAAGGAGGCAGUGCCCGAAGGUAUGAGUGGUAACUGGGAUGAAGUCGUAACAAGGUAACCAAGGGCGAA